AUUUGGGUAUUUCAACUUUGGGUAUUUCAACUGGCAUUGGCCCCAGUGCUAACAAUUAUGCUUUGUCUGUCUCUAGUGCAAGGAGACCCCAGUUAAUGAGAACCUGAUCUGUUCUGGAGUCGUCGGGUAGGUGGAUUACCGUUCUGUCCGGAGCCGCGUUUAAAUGUGUCAAGUUUGUUAAAAACAUGCCACUAAAGUGACAGUCAUUUCCUUUUUUGUCCCACACAGACUACCACUCCAACAAAUUGAAAAUUCCUCUCAAGCCCUGUGCAACUUCACCAUCACGCAGUAUGCCUGCUCCUCGGCUACGAAUCUCACAGCCCACAGCUUGGCGACACUGAUGAAAUGCUCGCUGGAAGGCCAAACCACAUACCCGGUAGAGGUCUGGAAGCUUUUCUUCCAGAAAGUUUCGUCUGUGCUAGAUGAGGCCCUCGUGUCAUUUGCCACCAUGGCCCCCAACAUCAGCAGCCCAUCCUUGUCACAGGCUCUCGAGGCCCUUGGUGAGGUGAAAAUCAACAACUUCAGCCAGACACAGUUGCACACUGAUGCCUUUGUCAGCAGCUGGUUCCAGACAAAGGCCCGUCCAUUUUUGGCCUCUUCAUCGCCCAACUUCCUGUUCUGCCUCAGCACCAAGAACCUCAGCUGCCAAACAUACCAGAUUGUAAUCCAGGCAUUCAGCAGCCAACAACUAUUGAUGGACAGCAACACACAGCAAGCAGUCUUCACUUACUUCAUUGAACCAUUCCUUUCGAGAAAUGACUCAUCAGAUCCUGGCUGUGUCUCCUCUGUCACAAGUAGUUCACAGUGGAUACAUGCAUUCCUUGGUGGCUUCUCUGGUUUUGCAACCCUGCAGCAAUUGCACGCCCUCAAUCCCAACUUCUCCAGUGUGGAUUCGUUGUCAGUGCUCACUCCUGCUCAGGUUGCAGAGCUGACUAUUGUUUCGGGGGCCUUGAAUGACACGCACCUAAUGUAUAGUGUAUUUGACCGUCUUGAGGAGGGCAACGCUAUGGAAAAUGUCGACCAAUUCCUGACAAAGCUGACAGCCGACGGACAGAUCCCAGUCUUCCAACCUGCUGUGAGGGAUCUGGCAAUGAAUAGGACCUUUACCAUCAUCAGUACCUAUUUCCCGGACUUCAGCUACAGUGACUGGAUUGUGUGGUUCCAUGUGAAACUGGUUCCUCUCCUCCCAAGUUUCAGUCCAACCAUGCUCAUGACUGUAACGUCAAGCACAAACUGCACAACCUACCGUGUCGUUGUGAGUGGCUUGGCCGUGGUUUUCCCUGAAAUACCAUUGCAAACAGCACAAGAGAUCACAGCUGUUUUGCUGGGAUACCUGAAGAAAUCAGUCGCUGUCAUCGGUGAGCCAGGUAAGGAACAAGUAUAUACAAGUGAAUGAAAGUAGAGUUUUUGCCCAAGAUAAAUACAUGAAAAUGAAGAA
rnacentral:lncRNA from 1 species